rnacentral:rRNA from 1 species
AGAACGAUUUGAUGACUGUCUAGCACACACAUSAUGGUAAAAGAUUCAUCACUACAAAUAAUAUGCUGCUGAGACUUCCGGACAAAAAGACCCUUUGAAGCUUUAUAGGGAUAAAACUCACCUUUAAAUCAACAAACAAUGAAAUCCAUCUUGUUGCUUCUCCGCUUUUUAAAUUGCUCAAGCCUUACAAGAUUUACAACAUCGAGACCACUGUUUAAUUGGGGCGAUGACCUUAUCCACAGCCACCUAAGGUGAAUAAAGCCAUACAMGGAUGCUAAAUACUAAUUWGACCAACUAAUAAGUGCAAAGAUACAUGUUUUGCUGAAWGGCCSAACAAGUCCGUCCCNAGUACUUAAAUGCUAUCUAAAUGAGCUUUAAAUUAAUUUACCAG